rnacentral:lncRNA from 1 species
ACACACACACACACACAGAGACAGACUCUCACUCUCUUACACAGCCCCUCUCGCGCCCGAGGUCUCGCCCGCAGGCCGGUGGCGCGGGGUCAGCUGCUGCCUGCGGUCCAGGACAGGGUCGGUUCCGCCGCGCAGCGCCCAGGCCCAGCUCGUCCAGAGUCUGCGGGCAGCGCACGUCCAGACAUCGCCCACUCGGGCUCAUGGUGCCAUCCGGGUGAGGACCUCCAUGGAGAGCUCCUCUUUGCCAAAGAAAAGCAAAGUUGCAUUAGGUCUGCGAGCAGGCAGGGUGGCCUCUUCCUGGCUCCCCCCCCACCAAGGAAGCUUCAAGUCCCUGGGACACAGGCACUUUCCCACACAGGACAGAGCCGGACCAUCAUCACAGCCCCUGCCCAGCAGACGCUAGCCUUGUGGAGGGAGGCGGGCAGCAGGAGCAGUGCUUUCUGGGCCUCUGUGGCCAGAGCCGGCCCCGCUACAGCUCACUUCUGCCUGCAGCCCAGACAUCCUCCUGGUCCUCCUGAUGCCCCCGACCUCCACGGAGGAUGAGCAUUUCCAGCCCAGCCCUCCCCAUCUCCACCUCCCACUCCCGACACACAGGGAGCCUCCUGAUCUGUGAACCCGCGCUGGCGGGAGUAGCUACUGACCGCUGGGGACCCCUGCCCAGGCUGCUCCCAUGUGGAAAGGAUUCAGGGAGCAGGCGAUGCUUAGCCGAAAGCGUGGAGACCAGCGCUGCUCUCUCCCCAGCGACAGGUGCACACCCAGAUCAUGGAUGUGUCGGGAACAGCUGUGCUCCUGCUCAGCGUCCGUCACUCCAGGCUGGGAGCGGGUCCCCAAGCUUCCAGCUGGGCCUAUCCGUCUCCACUCUCAGUGUGGGGGUGGGGGGCGCCAACAGCAUGCAUUUGCUCUACGCACUUCUCGUCUGAUAAUGGACUGAGGGUCCUUCUGCAGCCCCAAAACAUCCCUAGGCAGGAGCCCUGGGGCCCCAAGCAGCCAGGGAGGUGAGCACCAAGGACUUCCCAGAGAGCCUCAUCUCCCGCCGAGGGAGGCCCAGCCUGGAGGUGGUGUCUGAGACUUGGAAUCAAUACUUCCGUUGGUGGCAGUAAAUCCUGUCCCUAACCCUGCAGUAUAGAUGUGCCCUGUACAGGAGGGUGCUGUCUGACGCCAGACACCCGGACUACAAAUCGCAACCCCAUUCCUGGUCCUUGCUCCACUGCACCGCAGACCCCAUCCUCAUUCUGGGCCCUCAUCCCCUAGAUCCAGGGACCCCAGCCCCAUUUCAGCCCUUGGACCCUUGUAGGAUGUCAGGCCCUGGCUCCCCUGGGCCCCAGCCCCCAGCCCAUCCCUGACCCAGGCACUGGGGGGCCGAGCUCUUCUGAGAAGGGACAUAGGGCCUGGGGGGCUCUCUCAGCCCAUCAGCAGGAGAGGAGGAGAGGACAGACUCCAGAAAAAUCAGCCUUUGUACCCACUCAGGCUGCCAAGACCUGUGUCUGUCCUUCCAAGCUCAACCUUCAGAGUUCAUGAGGCCUCUUGCCCAGAAUGUCCACAGAUUUCAUGAGGCCCCUUGCCCAGAAUGUCCACGUUUGAAACCUCCCAACACCAAGCCCCAUUUCAAGUAUAACCAGGAGGGAAAAUGGUGCUUGAAAUAAGCAUGCCGCAAAGGAACACCUGCUUUCUCUAAAUGGGCUCUGGCCGCCCAGGCCCUGACCUCCCUGGCCAGGAUGGAACGUUCCAGAGACCUAUUAGUGCCAAAGGCAAAUUAAAACACACCCUGUGAAAAU